CAGCAGCCGCGGUAAUACAGAGGGUGCGAGCGUUAAUCGGAUUUACUGGGCGUAAAGCGUGCGUAGGCGGCUUCUUAAGUCGGAUGUGAAAUCCCUGAGCUUAACUUAGGAAUUGCAUUCGAUACUGGGAAGCUAGAGUAUGGGAGAGGAUGGUAGAAUUCCAGGUGUAGCGGUGAAAUGCGUAGAGAUCUGGAGGAAUACCGAUGGCGAAGGCAGCCAUCUGGCCUAAUACUGACGCUGAGGUACGAAAGCAUGGGGAGCGAACAGGAUUAGAUACCCCGGUAGUCCCUGUCUCUUAUAC
rnacentral:rRNA from 1 species